AACGAACGCUGGCGGCAUGCCUAACACAUGCAAGUCGAACGAGACCUUCGGGUCUAGUGGUGCACGGGUGCGUAACGCGUGGGAACCUGCCCUUAGGUUCGGAAUAACUCCCCGAAAGGGGUGCUAAUACCGGAUAAUGUCUUCGGACCAAAGAUUUAUCGCCUUUGGAUGGGCCUGCGUUGGAUUAGCUAGUUGGUAGGGUAAAAGCCUACCAAGGCGACGAUCCAUAGCUGGUCUGAGAGGAUGGCCAGCCACACUGGGACUGAGACACGGCCCAGACUCCUACGGGAGGCAGCAGUGGGGAAUAUUGGACAAUGGGCGAAAGCCUGAUCCAGCAAUGCCGCGUGAGUGAUGAAGGCCUUAGGGUUGUAAAGCUCUUUUACCCGGGAUGAUAAUGACAGUACCGGGAGAAUAAGCUCCGGCUAACUCCGUG
rnacentral:rRNA from 1 species